GCCAGGAAAGCUGCUAUCGGCGUCAAAAGCGCCUUCGCCUCGGAUGAGAACACACCCGCCGAAGGCGGAAACGAAGCCCCGAGGACGUUAUACUGUACAGAGGUAGACACUUUUAUCUGGUCCUGUAGGCCGGCCGCCGUGAGGGCUAUAUAGAUGUUCUGCAUGGCAGGGAGAAUGUACUCCGCCUCCCCUUUUGUGAGGAUCACCUCGUUUCCCACGGCUAUGUACCGGAUGCGGACAUCCGGCCAGUGGGCCAGUACCACAUCUCGGACCCACCCAUGGGCAGCCCAAGGGUUCUCAGCGAUUGUCUUUAGAGGUGCCGGGCAGUCGAGGAGGAGCUCGAUGUUGGAUCCUUUGAGUUCCUGUAGAACCUCUGUGUUCGGGUCGUAGAUUCUCAUCUUCCGAAGGUUAAGCGACUGAUAGAGCUGGACGACCUCCGCGGGUCUGGGGAGGUUGUUGCCUAACCUUCCGUAGCAUACUCCAAUAGAUGCCAUGCCUGAAUUAUACACGAAACCACGUUAAAGAUAAUUAUACUGAUGGGUUUGCCGAGAUUUUGUAAUUUCCUCUUGCUGAAAAUGUGGCGUUAUGGGAUAGAGAGUUGGAUGCAUGAAUGAAUGAGUUCACAAAUACAUGUGUGCAGAACGGUAUAGAGGUAGGUACAUACUUGCUGACUUCGCCGUCUGCCUGAACCAAGAAUCUGUAGGAAGCCGUGGAGAACCGCAGAAGAGAGAACGCCUUUUUUGAUACACCAGUAGCAUUGGGACGAAACAUGGUUCCGUUUUAUAGCAGUAGCCACUCCAACCGUAUUCUCCACAACUUGAUGGAAGAAGACUCCAACUCAUCGUCAAUAUCGACGGCACGAAACUUUUAUAAAUUGACCCGGUACUCGGGGUUAGCGAGAUUAAUUUGGACUGCGACAGUCGUCAUAUGCGCCUUAUAUCGUUGACCUAUGAAACGAGCAUGAUACAAAUGCUUGCUUCAUCCAUGAAGACUCAUCUACAUGAAUUUAAAUCAUCUACAAUUGUAAUGUUAACGCCAAUGGUAAUGGCACAUCUUUCAAUCUAAAGGUCUUCCACCCCCUAAUAAUCGUGUGAAAUCCCCACGUUGGAGGAAACCAACUCACCAACUCUUGUUGCGCCGUCUCCAUCAACUAAGAAGCAUCAAAUACGUCAACGGAACGUGUGCCGUGUACCAUUUUCUUCAGGAAUAUCCCAAGGAAAUUUUCCUGACCAUUGAUUGUCGGUCCCACCGUCGCUUGCGGGUGGCCUUUCCUAGUAUUCAUACAUGGCAGAUAAAAAACAAAACGUUGAGACGACAGCUCACUACGUAACCCAACUGCUCCAAUUAUCUUCAUUUUUAAUUAGACCUUGGUGCUAAUUAGGGGGGCCUGCCGAUAUCCCUUGCAUCUAAUGACCUCAAUUUCCUUGUAAGAGCUUUUAAGCUAGAUCCUUAUCAUACUCAUGUUAGUAAAGACUUGUAUGAUUUAGUCAAUUUAUCGAUAAAGCCUUGUAGACUCCUUAAGGGUUAAAUAUCUAUUGUAUAAUAUAAGUAUAAACUAAUAUUCAAAUGGACUUCCGAAUAUUACCUCAAAUUUUAAUUUAUUUUUUUUCUCAUGGUAGGUUAAAAUGUUCGAACUUGAGAUAGAUCCCUUCAUUAUUGCUAGUAAUCCUUUAGAGAGUUUUUAAUAUUUUCACAUGAAAAUAUCAAGAUUGCAGUAGGUAGAUAGAAUUCUCCUCUCUUAGUAUGUGUUGACCUAGAUAUUUGACAAAAGAACUUAGUUGAAUUAACUAACUACACUUUCAGGUAUCAUUAACAAAAGUUGUUGAUGUAAAUAGAGCUGCGAAAAAUCAAAAUUCCCUAUUAUUAGGACAAUAAAAUGGCACAUAAUUUCUACAACUUAAAACAAUGAACAUCAAGAGUAAUAAAGAGAAACUAUGGUCGUUGAUCCUCUUAGGAAGCUAAUAUUCAUGAUUACAAUUCCAUUUUAUGAAUCUAAUGCUACCCUUUGGUGAAAACCAAGGUGAAAUGACUCUUGCUUGACAUGCUAUCAAAAUUUCUUGUAAGAGGAACAAAUCAUCCUCAUGAUUUAUCACAAUUUUAUCCCUAUACAUAUUAACAUAUGUUUAUCAAAAUCAUUCUAACAAUGGAAAUUUCUCUCUUUUCCAUAAGAAUAGACGGCCAUCAUGAUGUCUUCUAUAAUGCUUGAAAUAUGAAUGCAUUACAAUGUACUUCAGUGGACUAGUGGCAAAAUCAUGGUGCUCAACUAAAAUCAUAAUUACCUGGUUCAAAUUGAUAGUGAGACCAUCUGAAAAGGACCAAUGCUCUAAAUGGAAGGCUUUGACUCAUUUAAAACAUAAAUAAAGCCUUCGUAAUUAUUUUUCAAUCUAGUAAGCUAGAUUAUAUAAAUGAACGUGUUUCAAGUAAGGUUCUAGUAUAUUCCAAAACUAACCUAUAUUUUUUGUAGGUUAUUAACACAAGUAAGCAAACAUUGAUUAACCCCUUUGGUGGGCAUCCCAAAACAAGGUUUCAGAAAAACUUCAAAAUUAAGCAUGUUUGAGCCAGAACUAUACUAAGAUGGGUGAUCUUUUGGGAAAGGAUUAUACACAUUUCAUUCAUUUCAUUAUAAAUGUUAUAUUCAUUAACAUACAUGUGUGAUGCUUAUUGAUGAAGUCUAAUAAUAUGUCUAAGAUAAGUAAAUUAUGAUGAGAUCAUAUUAUGGUGAUUUCUGAUCGCAUUAGUUCAAACUAGGAUGACCGAUUAGGGUUUUGACAAUUGACCAUAUCCUAAGCCGUUCUAAGAGUCUCAUUCAAAUGAAGGAUUAUACAUAUCCAAUAAUACUUGACAAAUAAAUUCUAUGAGUGGGUAAUGUAACCUUAUUAUCUUUUAAGACAUGUAGUGUAGCUUGACACCUAACAUGUGGCUUGACCUAUCGAUUGGGUUAAAUUGAUCCAUGAUUAAUUAAUUCAUAUUAGAUAUUAAAUUAAUUAAUUAAUUAAUUAAUUAAUUAAGUUAAUAAAGAGUUAUUGACUUAUUAGGCCAUUAAAUAGAUGUGUAUUUAGGCCUAGAGGGUCACAUGCAUAAGGUUCUUGUGUAAUGGGGUAAAUAUACAAAUGAUUUGGAUUUUUAUAAAAAAUAUUAAGUAUUAUCUAUAGACCUCAAGGGGUAUGUUUGAUGGGCCUACGUGACCCUCUUCACUAGAGCCAUCCCUUCUCUCUCCUCAACCUCUUACUUAAGUGUUGUUUUGUAGAUCAAGGAGAAUUAGUCCUUCUAAUCACAAUCAAGGAGAGGAGGUUUGUCUAGAGAACUACAUGGAUAUCAUUAGAUGUUGGGCACAUGCAUGGCUGACAGAUUUGAUUUUACACAAGGUGAUGUGAUCAUCGUCUAUUACUUAAUUAUUUUCUUAGGGACACUAUGAUUUCCUUCAACUAUCUCAAUAUGUGUGUCAAAUACCAAAUCUCAACAGGGGCUAGGCUUAAGGUGUUCCCCUCCUAAAAGGUGUGUAUGCACCUAACUAUCUAGAAAAGUGUUCCUAACAGUCCCUACAAAGCCUUGGUAGAGACAGCUUUCAAAAAAAAAAGUAACCAAAAAUCAGUUUCUACCUUAUUACCACAGACUUGGCCAAAAUUGACAAUGUAGUUUAACUCUUAUGUAUGAAACUAUUCCCAUAUUUCCAUUUCUAGAAGAGCUUAAGGCAUCCCCUAGAGCUGUAUUGAUUGGACUAGAUGUCCUCUAAACAUUACGUUGAAAAUAAAGAGUAGUUGAAACAUUCACACAAAACUAGUUCUAUCCUAAAUAUCCUUCUCCAACAAAAAUGAUGACCCAACAAACUAGUUCCGUAAUCACAUCCAAUGUCAGGAUAAUGGGAAGAGGGAGAUUAUAUAGACAAAAAGAUAUUCUCUAUCUAUUUUUCUGAACUUAGCGAUAUGGAAGAUAUUGACAAUUUACGGGAAGCAUAUGAAGCUCAAAGUAGGAUAAAUCAUAAAAUCAGUUCAUUAGGUAAAAAUGGAGACAGCUAAAGGAGGAUACUUUGCCAUUUAAUCAUAGUGGAGAGGCCAGUAUACAAAUGCAUAUAAACAUAUGGAGAGAGGGAGAUGCAUCUAGAGAAAAGGUUUUUUUCUACAAUUUUUGAAUUAUUUGAUUUAUAAUAUAUUAAAAAUUAUAUUUUAAGUAUAUGCAUGAUAGGAGAUCAUUAGAACCAUCAUUGAUGUGUGCACUAUCUUACAUUGAUAAACAUCUACAUUUUACAAUUCAAAACUUUCUGUAAAGACAUGGUAAAGUCAACUUUUGAAGUCUUUUUAUAAUGAAUGUUUACAAGAUAUGUGAGGAACAAGAUAAUAAUUUUACACAAAAAAAAGAGAGUAUUAAAUAAUUUUUAUUCAAAUAUUUUUCUGGAGUAGUAUUGUCAAUUUACUGUUAAAUUUUUUUUCUUAGAAGGUUAGAAUUUAGCUACAUGACUGGCUUUUAGACCUACUGUUGGAUACUGCUUUUCAGAUGGUCCAACCUUCAUAUUUAACUAUAACAGCCCUCUACAAGGACUGAUUCUAAUAUCUAGAUAUCAUUUAUCCACUGUUUAUGCCUAUUAAGUAUUUAUGCCCUCAAGAGUUCCAAAAUUUAUCCACUAUUACUUACAACGUGCUGAAAUGGUCGUUUGAAGUUUGGAUUCACAAAUUUAUUCAAGAAAUGGACCAUUAAGAGAAUAUCUCAUAAGUUUUGAUUUGUUGCACCCAAGUGCACGAGCUACGACCAUAUUAAUUGCAUCUGAGGCUUUCGCUAAUUUGAAUAUCUUUGUUGUCGAUUUUUCAUACCUUUGGCUUUAAAUAUUUAAUAUAGAACUGCUGGAAAUGUUUUCCUGGCUUCGUAGACGACUUUCAGGGCACUUCAAAAGGGUCCAGCCUGGAUCCAUUGGACAAGCCCAGCUAAGUUUAGACCCAACUAGAAGAGACAUUGGCUAAUCAACCAUGUCUUGGCGUGCACAAAAAUCUUUUGAGCGUAUUUAUUCCUGAGUAGUUCAGACAGGACACGUUGGUGGGAACCUCUGGUUUUCUUUAUUCUUGGUUUAUAUGUCGAUACAUCACCUUCUCAAAUGUCAUUUUUAAAAUAAAAGCUCAUUGAUUCGGAGGGUAGGAAUCAGAGAGCUUAGAACUAGAACUUGAUGGGAUAGACUGGCUGUUUAUUUGGGUAGAACAAUCCCCAGUUGUUUUCAAUCCCCGGAGGCGUCUUCUGGUCUUCGUUGAAUAGAGCGAAGAUAUAUGUCUCCACUUCCUUCCCAGGUAUCUUAGGCGUACCCUUCCCGACGUGUUGGAUCAGGUUUGAGUUGUAAAUGCGGGCAUUUUCGACGGUCGCUGCAGAACCACCAGCCGACGGCCACCCGCUCUCAGAGACGACGAUCUCCACACCGCCGGCUCCAACAUUCUCCAGUGCUGCGUGGGCAGCGUCGACCAUGGCGUCGAACAGGUUCUGAUACUCGAGGUCACUAUCCGGGUCGUAGACCACGGGCUCCGGCGACGUGAACAAGGAGUACGAGAGGUCAACUUCUUCUGGAUUCCCUGCGUAACUGAAGUAAGGGUAGAUGUUGACGAGCAGAGGCGCCUUCGUAAUGGCCAGGAAAGCUGCUAUCGGCGUCAUAAGCGCCUUCGCCUCGGAUGAGAACUCACCCGCCGAAGGCGGAAACGAAGCCCCGAGGACGUUAUACUGUACAGAGGUAGACACUUUUAUCUGGUCCUGUAGACCGGCCGCCGUGAGGGCUAUAUAGAUGUUCUGCAUGGCAGGGAGGAUGUACUCCGCCUCCCCUUUUGUGAGGAUCACCUCGUUUCCCACGGCGAUGUACCGGACACGGACGUCCGGCCAGUG
rnacentral:lncRNA from 1 species